GUGUCACACGGGCUCAUCUAAUGGACAAGGUGAUUGAUUCUGAAACGAGCCAUCCCCAGAUGGCUGGUGCCAAGGGUUCCUCUUGUUCAAUUCCAGGCUGUGAUGCCAAGGUCAUGAGUGAUGAACGUGGUGUGGAUAUUCUCCCUUGCGAGUGUGAUUUUAAAAUAUGUCGAGAUUGCUAUAUAGACGCAGUGAAAACAGGGGGUGGAAUUUGCCCUGGUUGUAAGGAACCUUAUAAGAACACUGAAUUGGAUGAAGUAGCUGCCGAUAAUGGGAGGCCACUUCCACUCCCUCCACCUGGGACAGUGUCCAAAAUGGAAAGGAGGUUGUCAUUGAUGAAGUCAACAAAGUCAGUCCUCAUGAGGAGCCAGACUGGGGAUUUUGAUCAUAAUAGGUGGUUGUUUGAAACAAGGGGGACUUAUGGAUAUGGGAAUGCUAUAUGGCCAAGUGAUGGGGGUUUUGGCAAUGGGACAGAUGAAGAUGUUGCUGAAUCCAAAGAGUUGAUGAGUAAACCAUGGAGGCCACUUACCCGGAAAUUAAAGA
rnacentral:misc_RNA from 1 species